rnacentral:tRNA from 1 species
UCUUUGAUGGUCUAACGGUCAUGAUUUCCGCUUGUCAAGACGACAAGUCGCGGGAGAUCGGGGUUCGACUCCCCGUCAGAGAG